rnacentral:tRNA from 1 species
ACCUGGCUGGCUUAAUCGGUAGAGCAUGAGACUCUUGCUCUUGGGGUUGUGUGUUCAAGCCCCAUGUUGGGAA